rnacentral:rRNA from 1 species
UACGUAGGGGGCUAGCGUUGUCCGGAAUCAUUGGGCGUAAAGCGCGCGUAGGCGGCCAGAUAAGUCCGGUGUGAAAGUCACAGGCUCAACCUGUGAAUGCCGCUGGAAACUGUCUGGCUAGAGUCCGGAAGGGGCGAGUGGAAUUCCUGGUGUAGCGGUGAAAUGCGCAGAUAUCAGGAGGAACACCAAUGGCGAAGGCAGCUCGCUGGAACGGUACUGACGCUGAGGCGCGAAAGCCAGGGGAGCGAACGGG